rnacentral:rRNA from 1 species
UACAGGGGGUGCAAACGUUGCUCGGAAUCAUUGGGCGUAAAGCGCGCGUAGGCGGUUCGUUAUGUCGGAUGUGAAAGCCCUUGGCUUAACCGAGGAAGUGCAUCCGAAACUGGCGAGCUAGAGUACGAAAGAGGAUCGCGGAAUUCCCGGUGUAGAGGUGAAAUUCGUAGAUAUCGGGAGGAACACCGGUGGCGAAGGCGGCGCGCUGGAUCUCUUCUGACGCUGAGGCGCGAAAGCCAGGGGAGCGAACGGG